rnacentral:misc_RNA from 1 species
GAUGAAGAACGCAGCGAAAUGCGAUAAGUAAUGUGAAUUGCAGAAUUCAGUGAAUCAUCGAAUCUUUGAACGCACCUUGCACCCUUUGGCAUUCCGAAGGGUAUGCUCGUUUGAGUGUCAUUGUACUCUCACACUUCCAAUUCUUUGGAUUGGGAGCGGUGGACUUGGGUGCUGCUGCUUACCGUGGCUCACCUCAAAUGUGUUAGUGCAACCGUUGGUUAGACAUAGUACAGCGUGAUAAGUAUCUUCGCUGGCGCCUCACCAGAGGGUGGCUGAUCAGGGCUUUGUGCUUCCAAUCGUCUUCGGACAACCGCCGACAACUUGACCUCAAAUCGAGUAGGACUACCCGCUGAACUUAAGCAUAUCAAAAGCGGAGGA